UACGUAGGUGGCAAGCGUUAUCCGGAAUUACUGGGCGUAAAGCGCACGCAGGUGGCUGAGUCAGUCGAUUGUGAAAGCCCUGGGCUUAACCUGGGAAUUGCAGUCGAUACUACUCAGCUAGAGUAUGGGAGGAGGGUAGUGGAAUUCCCGGUGUAGCGGUGAAAUGCGUAGAUAGUCGGGAGAACAUCAGUGGCGAAGGCGGCUACCUGGCCCAAUACUGACACUCAGGUGCGACGAGCGUGGGGAGCAAACAGG
rnacentral:rRNA from 1 species